rnacentral:rRNA from 1 species
UGAGUACGAGAUGCUACGGCAUCGAAGCAGUCUAUGUCAUACUUCCAAGAAAAGCUUGCAAUGUCAUAAACAAAUAAUGCCUGUACCAUAACCGACACAGGUGGGUAGGUAGAGUAUACUAAGGGGCGCGAGAUAACUCUCUCUAAGGAACUCGGCAAAAUGACUCCGUAACUUCGGGAGAAGGAGUGCCUUAUUUUUAUAAGGUUGCAAUAACAAGAUCCAAGCAACUGUUUACCAAAAACACAGGUCUCCGCUAAGUCGUAAGACGAUGUAUUGGGGCUGACGCCUGCCCAGUGCCAGAAGGUUAAAGAAGUUGGUUAGCAUUAGCGAAGCUGAUAACUGAAGCCCUGGUGAACGGCGGCCGUAACGAUAACGGUCCUAAGGUAGCGAAAUUCCUUGUCGGGUAAGUUCCGACCCGCACGAAAGGCGUAAUGAUUUGGAUACUGUCUCGGAGAGGGGCUCGGUGAAAUAGACUUGUCUGUGAAGAUGCGGACUACCUGCACCUGGACAGAAAGACCCUAUGAAGCUUUACUGUAACUUGAGAUUGAAAUUGGACUUUAUCUGCGCAGUAUAGGUGGGAGACGUUGAAAAUAUUCUUGCGGGAAUAUUGGAGUCAUCAGUGAGAUACCACUCUUAUAAUGUUAGAUUUCUAACUUUGUAUCAUUAUCUGGUCAAAGAACAGUUUCAGGCGGGCAGUUUGACUGGGGCGGUCGCCUCCCAAACGGUAACGGAGGCGCACAAAGGUUUCCUCUGAACGUGUAGAAAUCGUAUCUAGAGUGUAAAGGCAUAAGGAAGCUUGACUGUGAGACCUACAAGUCGAGCAGGGACGAAAGUCGGUCUUAGUGAUCUGACGGUGCUGAGUGGAAAGGCCGUCACUCAACGGAUAAAAGUUACUCUAAGGAUAACAGGCUGAUCUCCCCCAAGAGUUCACAUCGACGGGGAGGUUUGGCACCUUGAUGUCGGCUCAUCGCAUCCUGGGGCGGUAGUACGUCCCAAGGGUUGGGCUGUUCGCCCAUGAAAGCGGUACGCGAGCUGGGUUCAGAACGUCGUGAGACAGUUCGGUCCAUAUCCGGUGUAGGCGUUAGAAUAUUGAGAGGAGCCUUCUUUAGUACGAGAGGACCGAGAAGGACAUACCUCUGGUGUACCAGUUAUCGUGCCAACGGUAAACGCUGGGUAGCCAUGUAUGGAGAGGAUAACCGCUGAAAGCAUCUAAGUGGGAAGCCCACCUCAAGAUAAG